GGUUCCUGUUAAAAACAGAAGCGGUUCUGAAUAAGAACCGGUUCUCGGUUCCCAACCCUACUUAUUAGUAGUAUUAAUAUUAUAAAUAACAAUACACUUCUAUACCAUUUGCCAGUAAAAAUAAUAAUUAACACAACACAAAAAAACGUAUUUACGCGGAGGUGGAGCGGAAGGCGGAUUUACCUUUACUGCGCUUUGCAGCCGCAUCUUAGCCGCGAGUCUUCAAAACAAGAGCAGCAGACAGAAUGCCAAGGAAAGAAAGGAUCAAAAGAAAAAAACCCAAGGAACUCUCCGAUGCAGCUAAAGGUAGCAUCCCUCUCACAAGUUGGCUGAGGAGAGAGAAUAAAGAUGAAGUGCCCUUUUUGGUCCUUCCGCUCCUGCCCCACUGCAGGUCUGUGCACGCCUGAGAUAGGCACAGGCUCCCCGUGACCCGAGGUAGUUCGGAUAAGCGGUAGAAGAUGAAUGAAUGAACUUGCGGGGGUUCCUGUGAAAGGGCAGCAUCGCGCCAUAUUAAUCCACUUGUUUCUGCUGAGUCACAGUGUAUUGUUGAUGUGAAGAAGCGUGCCGGUUCAAAGCAGUCCAGCAUUUCUGCCGAAUCAUAUGACACUGACCCUGAAGACCACAUCACCAAAGGGGUAAAGAUCGGAGUCCUCACUGUGGUUGAAGAUGAUGUUGGCACUCCUGUUUCACUGGCCACUGUGAUAAACCGUGCAAUAAUCCUGGAAGAGGCCAUUGUUCUACAGGAUAUUCCAGAACUGCCAGAAACCUUUGCUUACUUGUUCGGUCUCUUGUAUGCACUCAAUAUGGAAUACCCAAAAGAACUGAAAUAUACUUUUGAAUUCAUUCAGAAAAUCUUCAUGGAUCUUGGCGGUACCUGCUCUGCGAGAGUCCAGUCACUAAAAUUAAAACUGUUGUUGAUGAUUUUGCAGAUGUCACUGAAGCUAUGGCAAAUGGGACAAUGAUUGUUGCAAUUAUACUUUAAUAAUUAAUUAUUUAAAAAAACAUUAUUCUUUAUAAGAAUGUAUCAUUCGAUUCAAACUUUGCAGCCUUGAGGAAUACUGAAGUUUUGAGUUGAGUUUUUUUUUUUUGUUUUUAUCUGGCUGUAC